rnacentral:lncRNA from 1 species
GGAAAAUGAGGGGACAGAGGAAGAGAGGAAAAUGGCCUGUUCAUAUCCCUAACACCUUCUAGUUAGUUCCUGGAAGUGGGGAUUAGGGUUGUGUGAGGAUGUGUGACAUGGAUUUUCCUUUUUUAAAAAACCUGCAAUUUCUGUUCCAAAUCGGAACAUUUUACAAGAAAAAGAAAGGAAACUUCUCUUUCCCAGCCAGUCCCCACUACCACGACACAACUACUGUAUAUAGCAAUAACAUACUCAGAUUUGUGACUGGCCAGCCUCAAAACUGAACCUUCUAUGUUUUUGGUAAGGUAUUUAUGUAACCUAGAACAGCAGGGAAAGGGCAGGGAAGUAUCCUUUCUCCCUCCUGACCUUACAACCACCCCAGGCCCAGGACUAAACAAAAACAGUCCCAGGCUAGCUUAGGGGGUGCAGAUACCCUGCAACAUUUGUCUUAGGUAACAUAGAAUACAGAUACAUAAUGAUAAUAUACUUUCUGGAUUAAACAGUGAUGAAGUAGCCUUUCCCAGCACUUUGGAAGGAGCAAUGAGACUUUUAGAAUAAGCCUUCACUGAAUAAUAAUAGAAAGAUGCCUUCAAUGUGCACGCAAUCUCUGUAGGACAAGGUUCUGUUUGUAGUGCUAACAUUGCUCUGUAAUGUGCUACAAACAGUGGCGGUGCUAUAAAAAUAUCUGAAACUACAACAGAGCAGUGAUGCUGUCAUUCUAGGUGAGGUAUGUGUGAAAAAAAUGCUUGUUUUCCAAAGCUAUAUGAAGGGAUUGCAAUGUGCAAGUCUCCCUCUCUCUCAAGCCACUAGAGGUCACAAGAGAACAAUAAAAAAAGAUUUCAAACCACCCAUCUUGCUAUUUCACCAAAAGCUGCUUUUUUACACUUAUUUACAUAAGUGUUUUGGGUGGGGGUGCACUCCUAAACAAUUUAUAAAUGUAUUGUACGACCUGUUAUAAUAUGAUGGUACAAACUUAUUAGUUCAAAUCCUGUUCAAUUAUUUUAAGAUAUCAGACUGUUUAAUAUUUGAGGAGAGCAGUAUUUUUAGUGGUUGAUGAUGAAUUACUGCGAUUCUUUCUUAAAGCCGCAUCACCCUUGUUUGUAUCUUUCAAGUUUUGAAUAUAAUUUUAAAAAUAAAUUGCAAUGCCAUAUAUUUUAAAUUCGCAUUUAUAUCUCGUCAGGAGUCAAAAUGUUGGUGUAUGAAUAGGGUUGCAUUAGGCCUCCUCCUGUGACCUUACCUGCAACUUGACCUGAGACACUAAAAAUCAGAAGGUGGAACUUUCCCUGCCACCCAUCUCUGUACCAGGAAAACACCUGGUGAUAAUGAAAUGAAAGGCCCAUAAAAAUGUGGCCAACUGAAUAUAUCUGAUAUCGUCCAGCAACAAAAUAUUGAUGAGGAUUUCUAAUUUUGCUCCCAGAUCCAUUUUGAAAACCUGAACGUAAAAAGUACCGUAUUUUUCGCCCUAUAGGACGCACUUUUCCCCCUCCAAAAAUGAAGGGGAAAUGUCUGUGCGUCCUAUGGGGCGAAUGCAGGCUUUCGCUGAAGCCUGGAGAGCGAGAGGGGUCGGUGUGCACCGACCCCUCUCGCUUUCCAGGCUUCAGGAAGCUAUCCGCAAGCCUCGCGCGCCCGGCGGGAGGUCCCGCCGGGCUCGCAAGGCUUGCGGGCAGCAGCCUGCAGCCCAAAGCAUGGGGCGCGCUGCGGAGCAUGCCCCAUGCUUCGGGCAGAUGUCCGCAAGCCUCGCGCGCCCGGUGGGAAGUCCCGCCGGGCUCACAAGGCUUGCAGGCAGCAGCCUGUUCUUGGGGGCUAGGGUCGGGGGAAGCUCGGGCUUCCCCUGCGCCAGCCCCGCGCCUGGGGGGGAAAUAAUUUUUUUUCUUUAUUUCCCCCCCCCAAAAAAAAAUCUAGGUGCGUCCUAUGGGACGAAAAAUACAGUACUCACCAUUUUUAUUUAAAGGAUUUUUAAGUAUUUAAGUACUGAAAUUGUUGCUGUUGUUUAAUCCUAGGAGUGCUAGACUAUUGUAUUAUGAAUCUUUAUCCAUCUCCACCAGCAUAUUUUGGGCCUUCAUCACAGACUUGUGAUCAUUCCUGUGGUGGUGGUGUUGGUGUUGUUGUUGUUGUUGUUGUUGUUGUUGUUGUUGUUUUCCAUUUUAACUCUCAUCUGUGUUUAUGCUGCUUUUAAAUAAAAACAGACAGCAUUUACUCCCAGAGUAACUAUUCUGAUCUGAUAAUAUGUUCCCUUUUUGGCUCCUCUUGCAUCUUGCCUACAAUCACAGCUGUCUGAACUCUUUUUGUCGCUGAGCCACACAUGCUCUCACAUCACUCAAGCCGUAUCAUUUUGACAGGGGGACGGAGGCAGAAUUGUCACUUCUCUGGGUAUCUCCUUGACUAUACUUCUCCAGUGUUUUUUUUCCCCUUUGCCCAAAUCAUUUGCCUGUGAACUCCUUACUUCCCUUUUUCCUCGGCAGAUGACUUUCUUAUCGGAGAAUGCUAUCUAUGAAAGCCUACUACAUCUAGAUGCAGGAUCUCUUCUGUGGCGAUGGCUACCUUGAACCAGACCAUUAGAGAGCUCAGUAUUGUCUGCACUGACCGCCAGCGUAUCUUCUGGGUGUCGGAGAGGAAUCAAUUUCCAGCCCUGCCUGGAGAGGAUGGAAACUGAACCUUCGACAUGCACAGCUAAGGCUCUUCUCGCCCACCUGUCAUCAAAUGAGUCACUAAAAUAUACAGGUGUGGACCCCGCCCCCCAGCAAUACACAUAUUAUCUGAAGGAGCACAAUACCUUUGAGGUUCACUUUCAGCACUGUUAAUUACAGUUUUUUUCUUAGGCAGUACAAUUUUCCCGCUCACAUAAGUCAGUGUGGGAGAGGAUUAGUGGAGUGUUUAUUUGACUUCAGGCGGCUGGCUGCCACUCCUGUGCUACUCACUCCUGAGCCUUGAUCCUCUAAAUGACCCAAUAUUCUUAAAAACCAGAACUCACAGUACAUUCCACAAGUAAGCGUGCCGUAUCACGAGAUGUUUGUUUCUUUUUUUGUGAGCCUCUUCCCUCCCGCCUCCUUUUUCCCCCCUGGUCAGUAUUCAGUUAAGCUCUCAGCCUUAUUCUCUAAAGUAUUUGCUCCUUACACAGCUCUUUCUUCUAAAUGCAAUUUAUCCAUGUGUGCGCUAAACAAACAUUGCAUCUGCCUUGAAUGUGGAAUUCAAUUUGCCAACCUCCGUCAAUCUAAGGUAAAGUCAUCAACAGUUCAAAAUGCUCUUUCCAGGUAUUAUCGGCUGCUAUGUCACACACCAAAAUGAAGAUCUACUGGCACGACUAUUACGCUAACAAAAAAUUGCUGGACCUCAAACAUUUGGGAUUGUCAUUAUUAUUAUAUAACACCUCAAAAGCUAGGUGGUAUAGAAAAUAAUUUUAUAAAAUAAGUAGCAGAUUCCCAGUUGCGUAGAUAUUUCCUCCACCUGUGUGAUAUGGGUGCUUGAGGGUUGUUUGUUGAACAGCCAAGGGAAGCUGCAAUGUGACCAGAAGGUUAUAAGAAGGGCAUUGUAGAAUAGUGGUUAGAGUGUUGGACUUGAACAAGGUUGACUGGUUUCAAUUUCCCAGUAAGCCAUGAAGCUUACUAGCUGUCAUCAGGUCAGUUUCCUAAAGUAUCUCACAAGUUGGUUGUGAGAAUAAAGAGAGGGAGGACUAUGUACAUUCACCAGAGCUUCUUGGAGGAAGGACAAAAUAAAAAUCUCAAAGACUGCAGCAUAGCAAAUAACGUCUAACUCUUUCCCCCUAGAAUCUGCUUUCAUUUUGCCCUGAUGGGGGAAAAAUAUGGAUAUACCCAUAUUUGAAGGGCAAAGGCAGAGUUUGGAGGGAUUUUAACAAGGAAAAAAAGAGAUUUCAAGCAAGAGUUAAGCCACACUCGCCUCCCAAUGAUCUUUUGCUCCUGAUUGCAGCUUACUGCAGCUGCUUUGGGUAAAACAACAACAACAACAAAAACCUCAGGGAGAACAUUGAUGUGACUGAGCAUCCAGUUUGACCCCAAGUCUAAAGAAAGAGGAAGACCGGCUGACAAUACAGCACACCAAGAAAAGAAAAUAACAGCUAAAAUGUGAUGAUGCAAAGCCCU